rnacentral:tRNA from 1 species
GCCUGGGUGGCUCAGUUGGUUAAGCAUCUGACUUCAGCUCAGGUCAUGAUCUCACAGCUUGUGAGUUCAAGCCCCACGUUGGGCU